rnacentral:lncRNA from 1 species
UAUAUGGAGUAUAUGGAGUAGAACCUAAAUAUGGAAUGCAAAAUUUACACUCAUUCUUAAAAAAUUGAAUUAGAAAAAGAUAAAAUUGAAGAAUAUUGGCUUUAAGAUAAUUGCCCUUCUGGAAAAGAAAGGAGGAGUCAAAAAAAACUUAGCCUUCAAUUGUCUUUAGCAUCAAUAUUUCAUUAAUUUAAAUUUUAACUUGAUUCAAAUUCAGUUGAUAUGCUAAAAUUGCUUAAGAGCUAUGAAGAUCAAUCUUAUGCAUAAGGAUAGAACUGAAAGUUGACUAUUUUGAAUUAUGCACACUGUAUCUAGCUCAAAUCAAAACAUUAUACUUGUACAUCUGAUCAAAUACUGUGUAUAUGUUUAAAUUUCGAAUUUUGCAUAUACUCAGUGUUUUGUCAUCAUCAAAAAGGGGGAGAUUGUUGACCCCCUAAUGGAUUUUGACGAAUACAA